rnacentral:rRNA from 1 species
UCUAAGCACAUGCCUUAAAACGGUGAAGCCGCGAAUAGCUCAUUACAACAGCCAUCGUUUAUUAGAAUAUCGUUAUCCUACUUGGAUAACUGUGGCAAUUCUAGAGCUAAUACAUGCAAUAAAGCUCUGCCCGCAAGGAACGAGCGCAUUUAUUAGAAUAAAAACCAAUCGGGUUUCGGCCCGUAAUUUGGUGAAUCUGAAUAACUUUGCCAAUCGCACAGUCCUAGUACUGGCGAUGUAUCUUUCAAGUGUCUGCCUUAUCAACUUUCGAUGGUACGCUAUACGCCUACCAUGGUAGUAACGGGUAACGGAGAAUAAGGGUUCGACUCCGGAGAGGGAGCCUGAGAAACGGCUACCACAUCCAAGGAAGGCAGCAGGCGCGCAAAUUACCCACUUCCAGAACGGAGAGGUAGUGACGAAAAAUAACGAGACAGUCCUCUUCGAGGUCUGUCAUCGGAAUGGGUACAAUUUAAA